rnacentral:rRNA from 1 species
GACGAACGCUGGCGGCGCGCUUAACACAUGCAAGUCGAACGGAAAGGCCUGCUUUCCCUUGUGGAUUGCGGGUACUCGAGUGGCGAACGGGUGAGUAACACGUGAGUGAUCUGCCCCCAACUUGGGUAUAAGCCUGGGAAACUGGGUCUAAUUCCCGAUAGGACUGCAGGGUGGUGCCUGUGGUGGAAAACGAUUUUCUAGUGGUUGGGGAUGAGCUCGCGGCCUAUCAGCUUGUUGGUGGGGUAAUGGCCUACCAAGGCGGCGACGGGUAGCCGGCCUGAGAGGGUGGACGGCCACAUUGGGACUGAGAUACGGCCCAGACUCCUACGGGAGGCAGCAGUGGGGAAUAUGGCACAAUGGGCGGAAGCCUGAUGCAGCGACGCCGCGUGGGGGAUGACGGCCUUCGGGUUGUAAACUCCUUUCGACCGCGAGGAAGCCACCUGGUUGGAAGGGUGGUGACGGUAGUGGGAGAAGAAGCACCGGCUAACUACGUG